GAUGAACGCUAGCUACAGGCUUAACACAUGCAAGUCGAGGGGUAACGAGAGGAAAGCUUGCUUUCCUUGUCGACGACCGGCGCACGGGUGAGUAACGCGUAUCCAACCUGCCCCCAACUAGGGAAUAACCUUGCGAAAGUAAGACUAAUACCCUAAACUUUGCUCAGAUGUCAUCUGACGAGGAAUAAAGAUAUAUCGGUUGUGGAUGGGGAUGCGUCUGAUUAGCUUGUUGGCGAGGUAACGGCCCACCAAUGCAACGAUCAGUAGGGGUUCGGAGAGGAAGGUCCCCCACAUUGGAACUGAGACACGGUCCAAACUCCUACGGGAGACAGCUGUGAGGAAUAUUGGUCAAUGGGCGGAAGCCUGAACCAGCCAAGUAGCGUGCAGGAUGACGGCCCUAUGGGUUGUAAACUGCUUUUAUACAGGAAUAAAGUUAGCCACGUGUGGUUAUUUGUAGGUACUGUAUGAAUAAGGACCGGCUAAUUCCGUGCCAGCAGCCGCCGUAA
rnacentral:rRNA from 1 species